rnacentral:rRNA from 1 species
CCUAAUACAUGCAAGUCGAGCGAACAGAUGAGGAGCUUGCUCCUCUGACGUUAGCGGCGGACGGGUGAGUAACACGUGGGCAACCUGCCCUGCAGAUUGGGAUAACUCCGGGAAACCGGGGCUAAUACCGAAUAACAAAAAGAAUCUCCUGAUUCUUUUUUGAAAGGCGGCUUUUAGCUGUCACUGCAGGAUGGGCCCGCGGCGCAUUAGCUAGUUGGUGAGGUAACGGCUCACCAAGGCAACGAUGCGUAGCCGACCUGAGAGGGUGAUCGGCCACACUGGGACUGAGACACGGCCCAGACUCCUACGGGAGGCAGCAGUAGGGAAUCUUCCGCAAUGGACGAAAGUCUGACGGAGCAACGCCGCGUGAGUGAAGAAGGUUUUCGGAUCGUAAAGCUCUGUUGUCAGGGAAGAACAAGUACCAUAGUAACUGAUGGUACCUUGACGGUACCUGACCAGAAAGCCACGGCUAACUACGUGCCAGCAGCCGCGGUAAUACGUAGGUGGCAAGCGUUGUCCGGAAUUAUUGGGCGUAAAGCGCGCGCAGGUGGUUCCAAAAGUCUGAUGUGAAAGCCCCCGGCUCAACCGGGGAGGGUCAUUGGAAACUGGGGAACUUGAGUGCAGGAGAGGAAAGUGGAAUUCCACGUGUAGCGGUGAAAUGCGUAGAUAUGUGGAGGAACACCAGUGGCGAAGGCGACUUUCUGGCCUGUAACUGACACUGAGGCGCGAAAGCGUGGGGAGCAAACAGGAUUAGAUAC